GAUGAACGCUGGCGGCGUGCUUAACACAUGCAAGUCGAACGGAAAGGCCCAAGCUUGCUUGGGUACUCGAGUGGCGAACGGGUGAGUAACACGUGGGUGAUCUGCCCUGCACUUCGGGAUAAGCCUGGGAAACUGGGUCUAAUACCGGAUAGGACUACUUCUUGGAUGUUGUGGGGGAAAGUGUUUGCGGUGUGGGCUGAGCUCGCGGCCUCUCAGCUUGUUGGUGGGGUAUUGGCCUACCAAGGCGUCGACGGGUAGCCGGCCUGAGAGGGUGUACGGCCGCCAUGAGGCUGCGGUGCGGCCCCGACUCCUACGGGGGGCAGCAGUGGGGAAGAAUGCAGGAUGAGCGCAGCCCUGCUGCUGCGGCGACGCGGUGGGGACGACGGCCUUCGGCUUGUAGACAACUUUCGCCAGGAACGAAGCAGUUUGUGACGGUACCUGGAGAAGAAGCAACGGCUAAAUACGUG
rnacentral:rRNA from 1 species